rnacentral:rRNA from 1 species
AGCAGCCGCGGUAAUUCCAGCUCCAAUAGCGUAUAUUAAAGUUGUUGCAGUUAAAAAGCUCGUAGUUGAAUUUCGGGAUCAAUAUUUCGGUCAUGCCGUUGGUAUGCACUGUUAUCAUUGAUUUCUCACCUUCUAAAGAACCGUAAUGCCAUUAAUUUGGUGUUACGGGGAAUUAGGACUGUUACCUUGAAAAAUUAGAGUGUUUAAAGCAGGCUCACGCUUGAAUACAUUAGCAUGGAAUAAUGAAAUAGGACAUCCGAUUCUAUUUUGUUGGUUUCUAGGAUCGAUGUAAUGAUUAAUAGGGAUAGUUGGGGGCAUUAGUAUUCAAUUGUCAGAGGUGAAAUUCUUGGAUUUAUUGAAGACUAACUACUGCGAAAGCAUUUGCCAAGGAUGUUUUCAUUAAUCAAGAACGAAAGUUAGGGGAUCGAAGACGAUCAGAUACCGUCGUAGUCUUAACCAUAAACUAUGCCGACUAGGGAUCGGAUGAUGUUAAUUUUUAAUGUACUCAUUCGGCGUACCC